GAUGAAGAACGUAGUGAAAUGCGAUAAGUAAUGUGAAUUGCAGAAUUCAGUGAAUCAUCGAAUCUUUGAACGCACCUUGCGCCCUUUGGCCAUUCCGAAGGGCAUGCCUGUUUGAGUAUCAUGAACACCUCAACUCUUUAUGGUUUUCCAUGAUGAGCUUGGACUCUGGGGGUUUUGUUGGCUCACAGUCGGCUCCUCUAAAAUGAAUCAGCUUACCAGUGUUUGGUGGGUAUCAUGGGUGUGAUAACUAUCUACGCUUGUGGUUUUUCCACCAGGUAACCUUCAGCAGUGGAGGUUCGCUGGAGCUCAUAGAUGUCUCUCCUCAGUGAGGACAGCCCUUUGAAUGUUUGAUCUCAAAUCAGGUAGGACUACCCGCUGAACUUAAGCAUAUAAUAAGCGGAGGA
rnacentral:misc_RNA from 1 species